UGAGAAGCUGUCCUUCUCAAUCACAGCAGAAUGAUGGAGGUUCAUGCUCUUGAAAAGGCAAAACAGAGGGUCUUUGGAAGCUCAGAGAUAUUUGAGGGAAGAACAACUUUCUAGAAACAGGGGAAUUAUUUUAAAAUAUGUUAAUUGAAUGCUGAGGUCACUAGUCCCCUUUCUCUACUUUCCAAAUUUUACACCCACACAAGUGCACCUGCUGGGUGGCGGGUGGGGGUGGCGACUCUAAACUCUGACCAAAGGUUGACAACAGGGGAUCAACGUUUGAGGCUUAAAAUGACCACAAAUGAUGAAAAUCAUUAUGUCCAUGUGAUGAAUUGAUUCCACAAUCACUAAGAAUUAGUCUUCUUUAUUCCUGGAUAGAAUUGUAUUAUCUUUAUUCAGAGAAUAGAAGUACUAUUAUCAUCUCUGAAAUUACUUUGGCUGAAAUAAAUACAGCCACUCCAGCUAUAUUUUCGUUUGCAUUAUCAUGGUAUACUUUUCCCUGUGGAUUUUCAUGGAAAAUUUGAUUUAAUUUUUUUGCAAGUAGCAUAUCAUUGAGUCUUACUUUUUAAUUCGACUAUUUUUUCCUUUAAUUUCAGUGUUUCAACUGCUUACAUUUAAUAUAAUUAUUGAUAUAGUUAUCUUUGUCUGUCAUAUUUAUUUUCCAUUUUUCCCAUCUACUGUUUGUCUUUUUCCUCCUUUACUACCUUCUGUGUUUGCUUAUUUUAGUAUCUGCUUUAGGAUAUAUAGUAGUAUACAUCACAGACACACUUCAAGUUAUAUAUUGCCCCUUCAUAUAGUACAAAAACCUCACAACAGUGUUAUUUAUUUUCUCCUGGCCUUUAUUCCAUUCUUGUUAUACACUUUAAUUUUACCUACCUUAUAAACUCUGUGCUAUAAUUUAUUGCUUUAUUUCUAAACAAUCCAUUAUUCGAAGGAGAGAUAUAAAUAACAUUUUAAAAUAAUUUUACAUAUUUGUACAUGUGGUUACCAUUUCUAGUGCUUUCAAUUGAUUUGGUUGAUACAUCCUCCUGAUAUCAUUUUAUUUUUGCCAGAAGAAGUUUUAUUAACAUUUCUUGAACCCAACUGAGUCGGAGACCAGAGUGGCUCUGUCUGUCACACUUGGAGAAACUAUUAAGGGCUAUUCAUACCUGCUCACUUCCUCAACUGCUCUGUAAAUUGAAUAACCAAGCCAGAGAGUCAGAGUCCAGUUGUCAUGUCAGGACUACUUGUAUCUCUCUUCUUUAUAAUGAGUGGGAAUUUGGGACUAAUUCGCUUUAACACUUGGUGUGUUUUACACAUUGACAAAUCACAGGAAAAUGCUUUUCUAAAAUAUUUAAACUUUAUGAACACUGAUUUCUAAAUAAAAAAUACCUGAAACUUUUUCUUUAAAUUAUUUCUUAUAUUUUAUGUAGUGGCUUGAAAUAGAUCAAAGGAAGGAUGCUAGAUGUAGAUAUUUUAUAAAUUUUAACAGUACAGGAAAUUGGACUCUUUAUUUCCAUUUGAAUCCAUAUUUUGUGAAAACCCUCCACCUAGAAAGACCUCCCAAGUUUCAUCUGUCCCUCUGUCUUGGCCAACUUGUUCUUUCUCUGUCUCUUCCCCUGCCUUGAGCUCCGAGGUGCUUCCUGGACUGGCUGGGCCCCUUGCUCCUCACUGCACAUCUUAAUAUUUCUCUUCCUCCUUGUGCUCUCUCCAACCACUGCAGCAAAUAGUGCCUAUGCUGCCUCUGUUUUGCAUUCUAUUCAGCUUAGCUUCUAUUUAUUUGCUACUUGAACUACUCACUAAUUGUGCAUAAAGUGUACACUUUGCAACUCAAUAGGCUAUCAAUGGCUGUGUUCCCCCGUCGUGCCCCAGCACCCACCUGGUGAGGAGGAGGAAGGGAAGAUAAGGAGCUAACCCAGUGGGAGUUUCAGCAAGAAGCAGGCAUCUGGCAAAGGUGUAUCUUUCACCUGAAGUUCCCGGGGAAAGUUCAAAGCAGGAGUAAACAGAGAAUGGAGCACCAGGUAUGGUGCAGAGGAGAGCUGGCUGUGCUGAAGGGGCCAGACACAGGGGCCACCGGAAUAGAAGCUUCUCAAAGGUGGCAAAGAUGCUUUUUAUGCUUGUUGCCACCACCCAGAAUGAUGUUAACCAUGAGGUACGUGCUCAGUGAAAGGGUGUGGAGUGAAUGAAUGAGUGACAGUACAUUUUUUGGAAGCAGGCACUAUAAUAAUUAUUUCUUCUGUACCUCCUUUUCCUAACUGAUCUCUGCCUCUCCAAGGCUAAGAAUAGUGCUAGUCAUAGACAGUAAUUUACUUAUGCAGGUCCUUGACCUCUCCAUCAUCUCUUAGCCUUAGAUGGAAAAUCAUACAAGAGAAUGAAGCUCCUGGAGAAGAAAUGGUGAGAGAAGACCUCCAGGAUCUUCAGAAAUGUUGAGACACAGGGAUGUGGUGAAAAGAACAUGGGGGAAGAGCAUGGGCAUGGUGGUGGGGGUCAGAGCAGGACUUGGUGAAUACAACUCAUGGAGUGCUUGAUCUGUUGAUCUGUGCCAGGCAGUGGGCUAGAUUGUAAAAAUAAGACCAAUGAUAAAAAUUGAUAUAUACAUAUAUAUAUAUAUAAAAUAUAUACGUAUAUAUAUAGAGAGAGAGACAAUGACUGAUAUAUAAUCAAUAGAUGAUGGAUAGAUAAAUAGACAUAAGUAGAUAGAUAGCUUUAAUUCUUACUGUGCCACUUAAUAUCUAUAGAAACUUGCAUGAGUUAUAAUAACAAUUUAAGCCUCCAUUUCUAGAUAAAAUUAAGUUACUUAAAUGCUUAACUCAUAGGGUUUCUGUGAUAACUAAAUAAUAAAUCUUGCAUAUAUAUGCAUGUGUAUGUCGGUGUGAGUACGAAUAUAUAUACAGAGAGAGAAACAGACAGACAGAGACAAGGACAAAGAGACAGAGAAGAGAGAGCCAGAGAGAUUGGAGGGCACACAGGUGAGCUUGGUACCAAAUAGAUCAUUUUGCCUUCCUUUUCUUCUCAACUCCUGAAAUACUCUGUUUCUGAAAUACAAUGCAGUGAUAACUACUGUUUAUCCUUUUUUAUUUUUUUUGUCAUGUAAGUCCAAGAUUCCUUUAUAGAAAACUCUCAACCUAUGGCAUCAAUUUUGGACCAAGACGUGGCCAUCUGCCUUCCUAAAUGCCCCUAAAUGACAGCUGAGCUCCUCAAUAGCCUUCAUUGCUCCUGAUCUUUCACCCCUGCAGGGAAGCGUCUGGCAGCACACUCAAUGUCCAAUGCCCACUGGGCUGACCCAGAAGCAAAUUUUGUGUCAGCUCCUCCAGCCCACCAUGGAUCAUCCUGGGAGCUGUCUUCAGAUGGUAAUUAUUCUCAGCUGAAGCCAUGGCCCCAUUAAAGACAGAACACUGGAGAUGAAAAGUCCCAGAUUCCAUUAGCAGUCUCUACUUCAGACAUGAACUAUGGGACUUGAUGCCUCUGAUGUGUCUCUUCAUGUUGCUUCCACAGGCUUAAUGAUGCCUUUAGCAUCUCUCACCUGAAAGUAUCGCUCAUUAUGUCACUGAGAUGCACGGCCAUAUUUCAGUUAAUUAAGUUCAUUUGCUAGUUUAUAAAGGAAACACAAUUAAUAAAAUAAGUCAAGCAUGUCUUACUUUUUUCAGGUCAACAUUGAAAUGAGAACUAUUUUGACUAAUCUGCUCGGAAUAAAAUGAGAAAAACAGUUCAUGCUGAACUACUCAUAUGUGGAGGUGAUGAACAUAUGUUUCUAAUUUUGAGCUGAGAGAAAAGCAAAAAUAAACAAAUUUAACAAAUCUUAGUUCUUGACAACCACUCACAGAAUAGUUCAGCUAAGAAAUAAACAUAUGGUUCAGGGAAUAAAGAAACUGCCUGGCUCGGUGUGGAAAUGACACUUCUAGACUCAGAGUUUCAUGACUGCAGUGAGCUCAUUUCUUCUGUAAUUAGGGUCAAGACUUGAACUUUUCCUGUGGAUUUUCCCAUCAGAAGACUGGUGCCAUUUAUCCAUUUAGGUGAGCACUAUAAGGACAUUGCUUCAUAUCACGCUUCAAGAGUGAUGAGUUUCACAAGGAGAUUGCAUGUCUCCUCAGAGCUGGCCCGUCUGUAUGUGAUCAGGUGGGAGAAUUUGCUUCAGUAAGUGGAGUGUGAUGGGACAGGGGUGUUAAGUGCCCCCUGAGGAAGUGUUGGCUCUAAGAAGAGAAGAAGUUUGGCCAUGAUGAUGCUUGGCCUCUUUUCCAGCCAUGUCUCAGUCAACCCUAGCUGCUGGGAAAAUUAUCACCGACUGGUAAACAGCAAACAUUUAUUUCUCGCAGUUCCGGAGACUGGAAGUCUGAGAUCAGAGUGCCAGCGUGGUCAGCUUCUGGUGAAGCCCCUCUUGUGCCCCACAUGGCAGUGAGAAAGUGAGCUGGCUCCAGGUCCUCUUUUCGUAAGGGCACUCAUCCACUUAUGAGGCUCCACUCUCAUGACCUAAUUACCUCCCAAAGGCCCCACCUCCAAGUAUGAUCACAUGGGGGACUCGAUUUCAACAUAUGAGUUUUGGGGGACACAAACUUUUAGUCUGCAACAAGACAGGAUUGUCUUACUAUGAUCAGACUGUGGGUGAUUUACUUCGUUUCUUGACACAUCUGUUUUUAUUCUUAAGCCUGUAUACAUAGAUAGUACUUACUGUUUUACAAGAAUCCAGUUUUUCCUUGCAUGGUAAUUUAUUUUUAAAAGCACUGUUUUAAGGUUUCUGUGAUGAGCUAAAGGCAUCUAACUGAAUCCAGAAUAUACUGUCAACUUUAGUGUCUCAGGUCGUGUAUUGUGAAGGAAAAGGUGCCACACGCUUGACACUGGUCUUGGUGCAACCUCAAUCGCAACAUGUGAAUCCCAAGGGAGUUUCUUCCUCUCCAAAAGCCUCUGCUUCCCCAUCUUUUUUUUUUUUUUUUUCUGAGACAGAGUCUCGCUGUGUCACCCAGGCUGGAGUGCAGUGGCGCAAUCUCGUCUUGCUGCAACCUCCAUCUCCUAGGUUCAAGUGAUUCUCCUGCCUCAGCCUCCUGAGUAGAUGGGGUUACAGGUGCGUGCCACCAUGC
rnacentral:lncRNA from 1 species